GCCACUGAGCUACACCCCCAGCUCCAAAACUUCACAUAAUACUUGAUGAUUAUCAACCUCCUGUGUUCCAUAUAUCUAUGACCAAUCUGUAAUGCAGAAAGCACAUUUAUUUUAAGGGAAAAACUGAGAAGUGAUGCUCUUUAGCGACUAAAUGGCAGAACCAGAUUUAGAACUGAGUAAGAGCUAUCUGUGAAAUGUAGGAAACUUUGUCAUUGUAUGUUGUUUUGUUGUUAAAGAUAUUUUGAUUUGCCACUUAGAAUUUUACCUUCCUCAGUAUCCAGACUACAAAAUUUGCCAGAGUUUAUUUAGUCCUGUUUUCAACAGUCAUCCAGGAGAUUCAGUUUCUGUUUUUCUGAUGAGUAGUGUUCAGUAACAUGGAGAAGUCUUAAGAGUGACUAGCAUUUUCACUGAUUUUUUCAUCUACUUGAACAUUUUUUACUCAUUUAUUUGUAAGAGUUCCAUGCCUUGAACAAAUAUAAUUACCUGCUGUGGAGAGAAGAGAGUUAAUGAUAGAUUACUUUUUCUCCGGGCCAUCUCAGUUCUUUCACUUUCUUCUGGUUACAUCCGAAGCAUGGAUAUACUAUAUUUAUACUUUAAAAGACAGACAUUGUGCCAUGAAAUUGAGGUGGUUCAGUUGUCCUAUUAUACUUACAAAGGCGCUUCCCCAAACAUCCUUUAAAUUUCAGUUUUUAUAAGAAUAUUUUCAGAAUAAAAGUAAUUUUCAUAUUUGUAUGGCAAAAUUUAGCUCAUCAAGAAAAUACAUUAUUAGGUGUUCAUUAUUAAAUGAAACUAACAAAACUAAUAUGCUGAAACCUUUUCAUUUAGUACUGCCAGACUAGUGCUUAACUAUGCAGUCUGUUCUCUUGUGCCUAGGUUAGUAACCCCAGUUUGCUUUUCUGUUUAGUUUCUUGAGUAAUUUUAGUUGGAGGUUGGAGAAGAGGUGAGAAGAAAGUGCCAUUUAGUGUUUUGGUUCUUAAAUAGGAUGCUGCCUAACCAAGUUAAUUUCCAUGUUCUAUUGACUUUAUUGCUAUCCAGGUGAUUGAAAGAAAACAAAAUGGACGGGCACCAUUAAAACCAGCUCAAAAUAAUAUUGUUAUUGGUAAAGAUUUCUUGUCAAGAUGUCUUGGCUUGCACUUUUGUUGAGGGAAGACAGUGUAAAUAGUCGAAGAAUGUUGAUAAAUUGAAACUUUUGGUUAUGGAACUGUGUGUAGGGUUAGAGGCUUUCUGUUUGUGAAAUGUAUGUGUUAAAAAUAAAGUUUCAGAAGUUAACAUCAUGAGAAAAAUUAUUUAGUCCUGUUUUCAAAAAAAC